rnacentral:rRNA from 1 species
CAAGAGCGUAUAUUAAAGUUGUUGCAGUUAAAAAGCUCGUAGUUGGAUUUCUGGUACAACGCGCCUGGCCCGCUUUUGUGAGUGCCGGUGCGCGUUUGCCAUCCUUCUAGAAAACGUUUCUACCCGGGUAACUGGGCUGGACUCGCGAUCUAGAUCUUUUUACUUUGAAAAAUUAGAGUGUUUAAAGCAGGCUUUUGCUGUGAAUACAUUAGCAUGGAAUAAUAAUCUAGGACUUCGGUUCUAUUUUGUUGGUUUCUAGUACUGAAGUAAUGAUUGAUAGGGAUAGUUGGGGGUGCUAGUAUUGGCCGGCCAGAGGUGAAAUUCUUGGAUUUGUUAAAGACGGACUACUGCGAAAGCAUUUGCCAAGGAUGUUUUCAUUGAUCAAGAACGAAAGUUAGGGGAUCGAAGAUGAUCAGAUACC